AUUGAACGCUGGCGGCAUGCCUAACACAUGCAAGUCGAGCGGAUGAAGGGAGCUUGCUCCUGGAUUCAGCGGCGGACGGGUGAGUAAUGCCUAGGAAUCUGCCUGGUAGUGGGGGAUAACGUCCGGAAACGGGCGCUAAUACCGCAUACGUCCUGAGGGAGAAAGGGGGGGAUCUUCGGACCUCACGCUAUCAGAUGAGCCUAGGUCGGAUUAGCUAGUUGGUGGGGUAAAGGCCUACCAAGGCGACGAUCCGUAACUGGUCUGAGAGGAUGAUCAGUCACACUGGAACUGAGACACGGUCCAGACUCCUACGGGAGGCAGCAGUGGGGAAUAUUGGACAAUGGGCGAAAGCCUGAUCCAGCCAUGCCGCGUGUGUGAAGAAGGUCUUCGGAUUGUAAAGCACUUUAAGUCGGGAGGAAGGGCAGUAAGUUAAUACCUUGCUGUUUUGACGUUACCAAAAGAAUAAGCACCGGCUAACUUCGUG
rnacentral:rRNA from 1 species